UGAGCCCCAGACUAGUCCCUCUAAUUAUUAUAUUUUCUCAGGUAGUGUCCUGAAGAGUGGAGACAUUUUUUUCCUUAGUGUGAAAAGCAAGAAGACAAAGAGCCAAGAAGAAGCAUUUCCAGUUUGAUGGAACAGUCCGUGCUGGCGGUUGCUAUAGUAACCUGACGUCAUCAUUGUGAUCAUGACAAUUUUUCACUAGAGACUUCCAUGGCCUGGCAGUAAAAGCAGGGCCUGUCUUCAGCUUUGUAUAGAGGUUUGAUGAUGGAGGAACAUUGAUGCCACCUGGUGACAGAAUCCUGAACUGCAACUUGAACACCCUUAAGCAGGCAACCCUCCAUAGGGAGAGCUCUUUGUUUAACCAAUGUGCUCCAUGCAACCAGUAGCCCUAGAUGGAUUCAAAGCAGAUGCCAGGACCAGCCAUCAUCCACAUCAGGGAGCUCUCUGGAUGUAACAGAUGAGUGGAGCCUCCAGAUGCCAGCAGCACUAGAUGACAGACACCACAUGUAGCAGAAAAUGCCCAGUUGAGCCCAGCCACCAGAAACAAGCCACUUAUAAGGAGAAAGAGGUGAAUUAGCUCACAGUUUUGGAAGUUGAAUGCACAACACUUG
rnacentral:lncRNA from 1 species